rnacentral:rRNA from 1 species
GCGGUCAAUUAAGUCAGAGGUGAAAUACCGUCGCUUAACGACGGAACUGCCUUUGAUACUGGUUGACUUGAGUCAUAUGGAAGUAGAUAGAAUGUGUAGUGUAGCGGUGAAAUGCUUAGAUAUUACACAGAAUACCGAUUGCGAAGGCAGUCUACUACGUAUGUACUGACGCUCAUGGACGAAAGCGUGGGGAGCGAACAGGAUUAGAUACCCUGGUAGUCCACGCCGUAAACGAUGGAUACUAGUUGUUGGGAGUAAUCUCAGUGACUAAGCGAAAGUGAUAAGUAUCC